rnacentral:tRNA from 1 species
GCCACGGUGGUCUAGCUGUUAGAACGCUGGCCUUGUAAUCCUGGGGUCUCGGGUUCGAUUCCCGGUGGUGCCC